rnacentral:tRNA from 1 species
GAGGUACUAGUAAAACUGAUAAUUACACUGCUUUGUCAAGGCAGAAUCGCAGGUUUGACUCCCGCGUACCUUU